rnacentral:lncRNA from 1 species
AUGUUGCCCAGCAGGGUCGGAGUUUGCUCAGAAAGUGAAGUCCUAAGCUCGUAUCCAACUUUGCUUUCUUUAUCUGCAGCUGGUUGUCCUUUCUCCAAGGACCACGAGGAAACCGAAAUUUCCAGGGAGUGUUCACUUCAGCUUCGGCUCAUCUGGGAGACAGUUUCUGUCCUUUUCAAGGAGCUGCAGGGCGCUGAUGGGACCCAGAACCAUGCAGGGCCACCUCAGAGUGGAGACAAGAGGGUGACCUCAGAUUCAGUUUCGAGGACUCCGCUGGGGUGCCUGCCAGGGUACGAGAACUGUAGGAUCAUGUGUGCCUUCUGUGUGUGUGUGUGUGUGUGUGUGUGUGCGCGCGCGCAUCCGCACGUGUUCCCAGCCCUGGGUUCUGGUGGAGCCCUGAAGACAUGCUCUACUUUGCAUACAUACGAGCCCCACUCCAUUAGGCUUCUGCAGCAAAAACCUGCCAUCGAGAGAGGAAGAAACCUCCCCAGCGCCCAACGGAGCCGAGAUUCACUUUGCUUUUGCUUGGUCGCCGACAGAUGCCACAGGUGCGGCAGAGGCAGCUGCUGUUACAGACUGCCCAGGGCACCGCCCCGGGGAGGAAAGUGCUGUUAAUUUUGUGGCAUUUUAUAGUAUGCACAGAUCCUCCCCAAAGGCCAGACUCCAACCACAGUGCUCACGUUUGUUUAUGAUCAGAGCGAAUAAACAGGAAGGGUCAAGGCAAAGAGCAGAGGCAAAGAGCAAAACCACCAAACCAGUUCAUGAAAUGCAUCGUCCAUCACAGGAGCCCGCGUUCGACACUGCCUUCCUUUCCUGCUGCAGCCAAGCACACGAACUCUAAACGCUGGACCCGGGUCUACGCUGGCACGGCUCUUCCAUACCUCGAGAGGUCCACAUGAAAACCUCAAGGUCCCCAAGGAAAUGCGUUUGGGGGCCUGGGCUGAGCUGGCUAGCUGACUCCAGAGGUCAUUUGUGAUGACGGAGCAGAAGAACAAGGCUCUGCCUCCAAGGACUUUCUGGCAACUUCCCAGCCCUUUAGGAAGUGCUGAACUCCAUCCUAGUUUUCAACUAAAAAGUCAGGAUGAGCACAAGUUUCGAAUGACCCAUAGGAAUCCACUGUGAUGGUUAUGGACAGAUGAAUUAAAAUGCAUUUCUAAAUAUAGAGACAUAAAUAAAAAUAGGUUUGGGGCUCAGGUUUGUUUGUACAGGUAAUUUCCAUAAAAAUUAAUAUUCCUGAAUUUAGUGGAACUAAAUAAUUA